UACGUAGGGUGCAAGCGUUAAUCGGAAUUACUGGGCGUAAAGCGUGCGCAGGCGGCUUUGCAAGACAGAUGUGAAAUCCCCAGGCUCAACCUGGGAACUGCGUCUGAUACUGGAUGGCUUGAAUCCGGGAGAGGGAUGCAGAAUUCCAGGUGUAGCGGUGAAAUGCGUAGAUAUCUGGAGGAAUACCGGUGGCGAAGGCGGCAUCCUGGACCGGCAUUGACGCUGAGGAGCGAAAGCCAGGGGAGCAAACGGG
rnacentral:rRNA from 1 species